rnacentral:rRNA from 1 species
CCUACGGGAGGCAGCAGUGAGGAAUAUUGGUCAAUGGGCGUAAGCCUGAACCAGCCAAGUCGCGUGCGGGAAGACUGCCCUAUGGGUUGUAAACCUCUUUUGUCCGGGAGCAAAGCCGGCUACGUGUAGCCGGCCUGAGAGUACCUGAAGAAAAAGCAUCGGCUACCUCCGUGCCAGCAGCCGCGGUAAUACGGAGGAUGCAAGCGUUAUCCGGAUUUAUUGGGUUUAAAGGGGGCGUAGGCGGAAUGCCAAGUCAGCGGUAAAAUCGCGGGGCUCAACCUCGCUCGGCCGUUGAAACUGGCGUUCUUGAGUGGGGGAGAAGUAUGCGGAAUGCGUGGUGUAGCGGUGAAAUGCAUAGAUAUCACGCAGAACUCCGAUUGCGAAGGCAGCAUACCGGCGCCCAACUGACGCUGAAGCACGAAAGCGUGGGUAUCGAACAGGAUUAGAUACCCCUGGUAGUC